AUUGAACGCUGGCGGCAGGCUUAACACAUGCAAGUCGAGCGAGCGGCGGACGGGUGCGUAAUGUCUGGGAAACUGCCCGAUGGAGGGGGAUAACUACUGGAAACGGUAGCUAAUACCGCAUACCCUCAGAUGUGCCCAGAUGGGAUUAGCUAGUAGGUGGGGUAAUGGCUCACCUAGGCGACGAUCUCUAGCUGGUCUGCGAGGAUGACCAGCCACACUGGAACUGAGACACGGUCCAGACUCCUACGGGAGGCAGCAGUGGGGAAUAUUGCACAAUGGGCGCAAGCCUGAUGCAGCCAUGCCGCGUGUGUGAAGAAGGCCUUCGGGUUGUAAAGCACUUUCAGCGGGGAGGCGUUACCCGCAGAAGAAGCACCGGCUAACUCCGUGCCAGCAGCCGCGGUAAUAC
rnacentral:rRNA from 1 species